GACCGCGUAGCUCGGUUGGAAGAGCAUUGGGCUAGUAUUCCAAAGGUCGUAGGUUCGAAUCCCACCGUGGCCG
rnacentral:tRNA from 1 species